AUGUAGACAAUCAAAUGUGUGAUUGCAGGAGAUGUGGCUGUAGACAAAGCCUGCCUCCCCAUCAGUUAUACAACAAAUGCCUUUCCUAAGGAGUAUAUGCCCAAUGUCUUUGACAACUACAGCACCCAGACAUCUGUGGAUGGCCAAAUCAUCAGCCUGAACCUGUGGGACACCACUGGCCAAGAGGAGGAAUAUGACCAACUGCGACUGUUCUCCUAUCCCCAAGACCAAUAUCUCUGUCAUUUGUUUUUCCAUUGGCAACUCAUCCUCUUAGGCCAAUGUGAGGCAUAAGUGGUACCCAGAGGUCUCCCAUCAUUGCCUCAAUGUAUCUGUUAUGCUGGUAGGCACCAAAAGGGACCUGUGGAGUGACCAUGAGACAGUGAAGAAGCUGAAGGAGCAGAGCCAAGUGCCAAUGACUCCUCAGCAAGGCCCUUCCCUGGCUAAGCAGGUGGGAGCUGUGAAGUAUCUGGAAUGUUCAGCCAUGAUGCAGGAUGGGGUGCAUGAGAGAUGGGGUCUCGUUAUGUUGCCCAGGCUGCAGCCUAGUGGCUAUUAA
rnacentral:lncRNA from 1 species